rnacentral:lncRNA from 1 species
AGAGAAGUGAUGGACAUUAAUUGGGACAAGACUUCUCUCUCUCCUCCCUCUCCUCCCUUAACGCCAGCCACUCACUCUCUCCCUCACUCUCACUUUUAUUUUGAAUCAAAAACUCACCUUUCUCUCUCUUGGAGUAGCCGGAUCACCCCCUCCUCCCCCCCAAUAGGCAUUCUCAUCUUCAUUCAAGCUUAUUUCUUCAUAUUUCCUCUCAUUCUACCUCAUCGACGACUGUCCGUUGAAUCCUUGACGCCAAACCGUCGUUUGCGCUAAACUACCUUCAAAGCCAACCGACUAGCCUCCUUAAGGGGUUGUUUGGUGUUGCUUAGCCCUUGUUGAAGCUCCCUCUCACUUAUUUUUUCUCUAAUUUAGUCUCUUGUAAAGCCCGAAGGCCGUGCCGAUGCCAAACCAAUGCCGGACCGCCGCCAAACCUCCAUCGGAGCCUCAACCAGCUGUUGUCCAGGUGCCGUCUGGCCGUGUUGUCCCCCUGACGCGUUUCGAAGCCCAAGUCAUUUGUGAGUGACUUCCUAGCCCUUGAUUAGGAUCAUCAUUGCAUUUAGGGAGUAGUUUAGGACUUAUGAGUAGUUAUAAGAUGAUUUGUUGACGUGAUGAGUUAUUGAUCGACUUAGAUAGGUUAUUGAGUUUCAAAACGAUAGGUUAUCUUUUUUAGGGUGACAAGUUGACGGGUUAUGAUGAGUGAAAUUGAUAUGAGGUUUUAUUAUGCCAUAAUAUGAUGAAAUGUUAUUAUGUGCUAUAAGGAUUAUUGGUUAGAUGUGAUAUAUGGGAUAUGUGAGAUAAGACUCAUUGGUUAGAUGUGAUAUUUGGGUUGUGUGCUAUAGGGAUUAUGUGCUAGAUGCAUUAUUUGUGUUAUGUGCUAUAAGGAUUAUUGGUUAGAUGUGAUAUUUAGGUUAUGUGCUAUAAGGAUGAUUUGUUAGAUGUGAUAUUUGGGUUAUGUGCUAUAAGGAUUAUUGGUUAGAUGUGACAUUCGGGUUAUGUUUUGUAUGGAUUAUGAUGAUUUUAUUCUACUUUGAUAAGUAGUCUAUAUGCCAUGAGUUUAUGAAGUAAUGGUGCAUAUAUUUGUGAUACAAUGUAACGCACGUGUAUGACAUGAUGACAUAUAACAAAUGAAGUAUCACUUGGGUUAAAUAAGAAAGAUAAGAAAUGGAAUGUGUAAUGGUAUGCUCAUUGAUCACCUAAGACCCUGUGUUUUACGUGGGGUGUGAACCUGUCCUAAUGUGUUUUAUGUGGGACGAUACUUGAUUUACUUCGGAUGUCCCUAAGUCAACGGAAUGCCGUUUGCGGAUGGAUUUCAAAACGAAAUUCCUUACAGGAAUGCCCCCAAAUCAAUGGGAUGCCGUGCUCAAUAAGGCGAAACAAUGCUUAGUUACGUUAGAUGAUUGCGAACUUUCGAGUUAGCCUUAGGUCCUAAGUGGUUCUAAUAAUCUGGACAAAUUUUUAUGGAAAGUGCAUGAGAUUCAUAUAUAUUUAGGUCUGGAUUAUUGCAUGGCAUGAGCGCAUGAUUUGAACCAUAAUACGCAUUCGUAUGUUUGACUCGAGAGCAUGGAAUAUAUGUUAUGGAGUUGCCUAUGCAUCUAUAUUGAUGGUCUUGAAUAGUAGAUUUGUUAUUAUGAGAACAGUAAGAGUAAAGCAAGAAGAGUGUUGCCAUGUUUUGCAAUUGAUAAAUAAUUGCUUGUUUAGGGCGCUUUCGAGGUGAACGACUUCCCUACGCAAAGUCUAGGAAGUUCACCCUAUGCGAAAUCUAGGAAGUUCACUUAUUGCGUUUAUUUCAUAUUUGUUUGUUGAAAUGUUUAUAGACCCUAAGAAUGGCUAAGGACGACAGAUUCGUUUUGGCCUCCCCAUUGAGCACAAUCAUGAGGUGAUGGAGUACCCUGUAGUGGGAGGGCCGAUGCGCAUUGUAUGCAUUACGUCAUGACCAUUUGGGUCAAUGAUGGUCUGCCUAACCUUGUGCCACACCCAUGCGUGGCCUAGUACUUUUGGGUGGGCAUCGAGAGCUACUAUUCCAUCCAUGGCUUCGAGGGUCUGUCGGGUGUCGGAGGCUUUGCAGGAGGCAUCAGCUGGGAUGCCAAGGAUGGGGAUGUUCCCGAUAGGGAGGUGUUCGACCACAAGAUUGACCCUGCGCUAAUUGUCAAGUUGGAGGCAUGGAUCCCGAAGACCAUUAGGGCUCAGGUAGUAGUGGGAUUGCUAGUACUUUUUAGACCAUCCUCGUAGUAUUAUAGGCAUGGGUAUACGCCAAGCCUUUUUUGUAGGAGGUUAUGGUGAAACGGUUAGGCGUACUGAAUAUGAUGAAGUUGGUUAUUUAACCUUUGAAUUUGUGGUGUAUGAGAUUUUGACUCAUGACACUUAUAUAUAUAUAUAUAGGAUUAUGUUUUUAAUUAUCUCUGUU